rnacentral:rRNA from 1 species
AAUUUUGCGCAAUGGACGAAAGUCUGACGCAGCAACACCGCGUGAGCGACGAAGCCCUUUGGGGUGUAAAGCUCUGUCAGUAGGGAAGAUAAUGACUGUACCUACAGAGGAAGCAUCGGCUAACUACGUGCCAGCAGCCGCGGUAAGACGUAGGAUGCAAGCGUUGUCCGGAAUUAUUGGGCGUAAAGAGUUCGUAGGCGGCAUAGUAAGUCUGGUGUUAAAUCCCGAGGCUCAACCUCGGAUCGGCACUGGAUACUGCUAAGCUUGAGUGCAGUAGAGGCAAGGGGAAUUCCUAGUGUAGCGGUGAAAUGCGUAGAUAUUAGGAGGAACACCAGAGGCGUAAGCGCCUUGCUGGGCUGUAACUGACGCUGAGGAACGAAAGCCGGGGUAGCAAAUGGG